GUAUGUGCCGCAACGAUAGCGUCAGCCUGGGAGCGCAGCCGAAGCGUGCGGCCCCAAGGAGCCCGGCCCUCUUAGGAGAUGCCAACUAAGAGACAACGGCCUGGUAACGGCUGGAACUUCCCAGAUGGCGAGGUGGCCUUCUUUCACACCUGAUGCAGAUUUGCAUCCCCGGACAGCCGAGAGACGCAGAUCGAUUAUAUCUGUGGCGGAGCGCUCCAUACCAGGUGGUAAAGCCGGAUCUUAGCAGUCAGUGUCGAGUGAGC